rnacentral:misc_RNA from 1 species
CCGAGUUUUCAACUCCCAAACCCCUGUGAACAUACCUAUCGUUGCCUCGGCGGAUGCGCCCCGGUGCCCUCGGGCCCGGACCCAGGCGCCCGCCGGAGGACCCCCAAACUCUUUUGUUUUUUAGUGAAUCUUCUGAGUAAACAAGCAAAUAAAUUA